AAAAAGUUUUAUUUUGGCUUAAAACCUAAUUUUGUAUUUUUAAUUUAUGUUAAUUUUAGUUUCUAAAGGAUGAAAAGUGAAAGGCAGGAUUUAAUUUUAAAUUUAAAAGGAAUUUUGAUUUAGAAAUAUAUUUAUAAUGUAGGCUUAGGUUGUGCCAGCUGCCGCGGUUAGACAAUCUAUGUGAAUUAGUUUUUUUUAAUUUAGUUAAUUUAAUAUUUGAAUAUAAAUUUAUUUAAGAAUUUAUUAGGUGAAAUUUUAAAUUUGUUUCGGGUUUAGGUUUAUUUUUUGAGUCUAGGAGAAUUUUUUUUUAAAAACUAGGAUUAGAUACCCUAUUAUUAUAAUUGUAGUUGGUUAGUUAAAAUUAGUAGUAGUUAGGCUCUAUAAAAUUAAAAAAUUUGGCGGUAUUUUAGUCCAUUCAGAGGAACCUGUCUCGUAAACGAUAGUCCACGAUAAUUUAAACUUUAUUUUUUAAUUUGCAUGUCGUCGUAUAUAGAAUAUUUUUGAAGAAUUUAAAUGUUCAUUAUUUUAAUUAAAAAGUUAAUUCAGAUCAAGGCGUAGUUUAUAAUAAAGGGAUGAUGGGUUACAUUAGAAUUUUUUUGGUCUUCUUUUUUAAAAUGAGAAUUAAAUUGGAUUUGAAAGUAAUUAUAAAUUUUAUUUUAUUUUGAUUUUGGCUCUAAAAUAUGCACAUAUUGCCCGUCGCUUUCAUUUUAGUUGAAAUAAGUCGUAACAAAGUAGGCCUAUUGGAAAAUGGGCCUAGAAUAU
rnacentral:ncRNA from 1 species